AUUGAACGCUGGCGGAAUGCUUUACACAUGCAAGUCGAACGGCAGCACGGGGGUAACCCUGGUGGCGAGUGGCGAACGGGUGAGUAAUACAUCGGAACGUGCCCAAUCGUGGGGGAUAACGUAGCGAAAGCUACGCUAAUACCGCAUACGAUCUACGGAUGAAAGCGGGGGAUCGCAAGACCUCGCGCGAAUGGAGCGGCCGAUGGCAGGUUAGGUAGUUGGUGGGGUAAAGGCUCACCAAGCCAACGAUCUGUAGCUGGUCUGAGAGGACGACCAGGCAAACUGGGACUGAGACACGGCCCAGACUCCUACGGGAGGCAGCAGUGGGGAAUAUUGGACAAUGGGCGCAAGCCUGAUCCAGCCAUGCCGCGUGCAGGAUGAAGGCCUUCGGGUUGUAAACUGCUUUUGUACGGAACGAAACGGCCCUUUCUAAUACAGAGGGCUAAUGACGGUACCGUAAGAAUAAGCACCGGCUAACUACGUGCCAGCCGCCGCAGUAA
rnacentral:rRNA from 1 species